UACGUAGGGGGCUAGCGUUGCUCGGAAUUACUGGGCGGAAAGCGCACGUAGGCGGCUUUCUAAGUCGGGGGUGAAAUCCUGGAGCUCAACUCCAGAACUGCCUUCGAUACUGGAGAGCUUGAGUCCGGGAGAGGUGAGUGGAACUGCGAGUGUAGAGGUGAAAUUCGUAGAUAUUCGCAAGAACACCAGUGGCGAAGGCGGCUCACUGGCCCGGUACUGACGCUGAGGUGCGAAAGCGUGGGGAGCAAACAGG
rnacentral:rRNA from 1 species